GAUGAACGCUGGCGGCGUGCCUAAUACAUGCAAGUCGAGCGAAUGGAUUAAGAGCUUGCUCUUAUGAAGUUAGCGGCGGACGGGUGAGUAACACGUGGGUAACCUGCCCAUAAGACUGGGAUAACUCCGGGAAACCGGGGCUAAUACCGGAUAACAUUUUGAACCGCAUGGUUCGAAAUUGAAAGGAGGCUUCGGCCGUCACUUAUGGAUGGAACCGCGUCGCAUUAGCUAGUUGGUGAGGUAACGGCUCACCAAGGCAACGAUGCGUAGCCGACCUGAGAGGGUGAUCGGCCACACUGGGACUGAGACACGGCCCAGACUCCUACGGGAGGCAGCAGUAGGGAAUCUUCCGCAAUGGACGAAAGUCUGACGGAGCAACGCCGCGUGAGUGAUGAAGGCUUUCGGGUCGUAAAACUCUGUUGUUAGGGAAGAACAAGUGCUAGUUGAAUAAGCUGGCACCUUGACGGUACCUAACCAGAAAGCCACGGCUAACUACGUGCCAGCAGCCGCCGCAG
rnacentral:rRNA from 1 species